AUAGAUCUAGGCCGUCAGAAGGGACUUCCGUCAGAACGCUCCUUGUGCUGGGCUGUCGUUUUCAUCGCUCUUUUUGCUGCUGCGUUCACGUGCGAACAACGUGCAUAAUUCUGACUAUAAGCUGCCUUCUUGGACUGGGAACUGGGGGAGCAAAGUUAUCAUUCAACCAUCAUUCAACCGUCUUAGCUCAACCUCACCAGCUCAACCCGUAUAGCGUUUGUUUUCUGUGCUAGUGGUGUGUGCUACGUUUUUUUUCUUCAACUCGAUAUCUCGUUUGUGCCUGUGUCUGUUUAAUGCUGCUUCCAUCGAUACGUGCUUGUGUGUAUAUGCCGUGUGGAUAUUUGUGGCUAUAUGCUACUGUUGCUUAGGGAACUAGUUAGGGAUAAUCUUUUUUUUUUUUUUUUUUUUUUUUUUUUUUUUUUUU